rnacentral:rRNA from 1 species
AUUGAACGCUGGCGGCAGGCCUAACACAUGCAAGUCGAACGAGUGGCGGACGGGAGACUAAUGUCUGGGAAACUGCCUGAGGGAGGGGGACAACCACUGGAAACGGUAGCUACUAACGUACACCAUCAGAUGUGCCCAGAUGGGAUUAGCUUGUUGGUGGGGUAACGGCUCACAAAGGCGACGAUCCCUAGCUGGUCUGAGAGGAUGAACAGCCACACUGGAACUGAGACACGGUCCAGACUCCUACGGGAGGCAGCAGUGGGGAAUAUUGCACAAUGGGCGAAAGCCUGAUGCAGCCAUGCCGCGUGUAUGAAGAAGGCCUUCGGGUUGUAAAGUACUUUCAGCGGGGAGGCGUUACCCGCAGAAGAAGCACCGGCUAACUCCGUGCCAGCAGCCGCGGUAAUUC